CCCUACGGGGCGCAGCAGGCGCGAAAACUUUACAAUGCAGGCAACUGUGAUAAGGGAACCCCGAGUGCCCGUAUGGACGGGCUGCUCAGGUGCUUAAAAACCACCUGGAGAAAGGGCCGGGCAAGACCGGUGCCAGCCGCCGCGGUAAUACCGGCGGCUCGAGUGGUGGCCACUAUUACUGGGCUUAAAGCGUCCGUAGCUUGGUCGUUAAGCCUCUGGGGAAAUCUUCCGGCUCAACCGGAAGGCGUCUCAGGGGAACUGGCGACCUAGGGAUCGGGAGAGGUGAGAGGUACUCUGGGGGUAGGAGUGAAAUCCUGUAAUCC
rnacentral:rRNA from 1 species